GCAGUUGACCUUCACAUGGACGGGGAGGUUGAACAUCCUGCAUAGUGCUGCCAGGAAAUCCCUACUUCAUACUAAGAGGGGGCUGGCUGGUUGCAUAUGUAGGAUGUCCCAUCUCCCGGCCCACUUCGUCAUGACAGAUA
rnacentral:pre_miRNA from 14 species